rnacentral:misc_RNA from 1 species
CUGUGUUUUGCCGCUGCUCGUGAGGGACACUUCCCCCAAGUCUUCUCUUACAUCAGUCUGAACAGAAAGACCCCUCUACCGUCCAUUAUACUCACAGUGAGUCUUUGAUAUAAUCACAAAAACAAAGUACUAGUAACAAUCAUUUGAUAUUAAUUUAUUUAUUAUCGAAUAAUCUUAAUAAAAAUAAUAAUACAAAUUCCAACUCCUCUUACAGGCGUUAAUAGGCGCGUGUCUGAUCAUCCCCGGGGACCUGAGCACGCUGAUCGACUUCUUCAGUUUUUCCGCCUGGAUCGCCUACGGCUUCACCGUGCUUUCUUUGCUUGUGUUAAGGAGGACCGAGCCUAAAACCGAGAGGCCAUAUCGGGUACCGACGGUAGUCGCCAUCUUUGUUGUUAUUACGUCAGUUUACCUGGUCCUUGCUCCCAUAAUUCACUAUCCACGUGUCGAGUUCCUGUACGCAGCUCUCUUUAUUGCCGGUGGACUCUUCGUGUAUUUCCCGUUCGUGUAUUACAAGCAAUGCCGCCUACCUCUUGAUCCAUAUAUAGAUUGGGUUACUAUAAAAAUUCAAAAAGCGCUUCUAGUCAUACCGUGAAGAUUUUGUAUCCACUCAGUAUAAAACGACGGUGCUAGUUUGGACCACACGUUGAACAAUUUGUAUCAAUUUACUCCAUGCAAUGCCUCUACUUGCAAUUUGCUUUGGUCAUUAAUGAUUCUAAAAAAACAAUAUUAAUUGCAAUUUUACACACAACGCUUAAAAAAGAGACAAUGCUACAUUGUACAUGCACAUGUAUAUCUACAAAUUCUAUUGUUUGUGUGUGUGUAUGUGUAUGUGUGUGUGUGUGUCCGAAUAUUGAUAUUGAGCUCUGGUUUCUGUGUCCUACAGAGUAAAUGACAACUAUUUUAAGAGUGGACACUAAAUUGUUAACAGUCUUUAUUUACGUUGAUGAUGGUUGUUAUUUUCGCGCAUCUUCUCUAUACCGUCCAAACUUAUAUGUAAAUGCAUUUAUAUAGCUAUAAUAUCAUGCUUAAAUUUUGUAUUUCUAUUUGCAUGAUAACGUGCUUUUUACUAUUGAAACAGAAACAAAAUUUAUAUCGAAUACAGUGUAUAUAUACAGUAUUAAAAGAUCUUUUAAUACCUGUUG